rnacentral:sRNA from 2 species
UAACUAUUAUCGCUGAAUUUUUCAUUUGAAAAAGCGGGGGAACCAAUCGCGGACGGCAAAACAGCUUGUUCGCAUGGGGUGAAUCCGAAGCCAAUUCACUUCGGUAGGGUGUCUCUCUAGCCCGAAUCCGGCAGCUAACCUCGCAAGCGAAUUUGAGGAGAGAU